GCAAACUUGGUCAUUUAGAGGAAGUAAAAGUCGUAACAAGGUUUCCGUAGGUGAACCUGCGGAAGGAUCAUUAUUGAAGUUGAUUUCAGAGGGUUUUGUAGCUGGUUCCUCUUGGGGCAAGUGCUCACCUUCUGUUCUUCUUUACACCACUUGUGCACCUCUGUAGAUCAUGGAUAUGACACUCGAGUUUCUUCAUAGCUCGGAAUUGGGGAGGAUUGCAAUCUGAUUGCUUCUUCUAAAGUUUUCAUGGUCUAUGUUUUUCUAAAAUCUUGAAUUAUUCCAGAAUGUUUAUUUUAUUGGGCAAAAUUUUUAUGCCUAUAGAAAUAAUACAACUUUCAACAACGGAUCUCUUGGCUCUCGCAUCGAUGAAGAACGCAGC
rnacentral:misc_RNA from 1 species